AUACGUAGGGGGCUAGCGUUAUCCGGAUUUGGCUGGGCGUAAAGGGUGUCGUAGGUGGUUUCUUAAGUCAGGAGUGAAAGGCUACGGCUCAACCGUAGUAAGCUCUUGAAACUGGGAAACUUGAGUGCAGGAGAGGAAAGUGGAAUUCCUAGUGUAGCGGUGAAAUGCGUAGAUAUUAGGAGGAACACCAGUAGCGAAGGCGGCUUUCUGGACUGUAACUGACACUGAGGCACGAAAGCGUGGGGAGC
rnacentral:rRNA from 1 species